rnacentral:rRNA from 1 species
UGGGGAAUAUUGCACAAUGGGCGAAAGCCUGAUGCAGCGACGCCGCGUGAGGGAUGACGGCCUUCGGGUUGUAAACCUCUUUCAGUAGGGACGAAGCGCAAGUGACGGUACCUGCAGAAGAAGCACCGGCUAACUACGUGCCAGCAGCCGCGGUAAUACGUAGGGUGCGAGCGUUGCCCGGAAUUACUGGGCGUAAAGAGCUCGUAGGCGGUUUGUCACGUCGUCUGUGAAAUCCUAGGGCUUAACCCUGGACGUGCAGGCGAUACGGGCUGACUUGAGUACUACAGGGGAGACUGGAAUUUCUGGUGUAGCGGUGGAAUGCACAGAUAUCAGGAAGAACACCGAUGGCGAAGGCAGGUCUCUGGGUAGUAACUGACGCUGAGGAGCGAAAGCAUGGGUAGCGAACAGG